GAGUUUGAUCCUGGCUCAGGAUUAACGCUGGCGGCGUGCCUAAUACAUGCAAGUCGAACGGAAGUACCUUCGGGUACUUUAGUGGCGAACGGGUGAGUAAUACAUAGGUAACCUACCCUUAAGACGAGGAUAGCCAUUGGAAACGAUGGAUAAAACUGGAUAGGAUAUAGAGGAAGAAUCUUUUAUAUUUAAAAGAGAGAUCUGCUUAAGGAGGGGCCUGUGGCGCAUUAGCUAGUUGGUGGGGUAAGGGCCUACCAAGGCGAUGAUGCGUAGCCGGACUGAGAGGUUGAACGGCCACAAUGGAACUGAGAACGGUCCAUACUCCUACGGGAGGCAGCAGUAGGGAAUUUUCGGCAAUGGGGGGAACCCUGACCGAGCAACGCCGCGUGAACGAAGAAGUUAUUCGUAAUGUAAAGUUCUU
rnacentral:rRNA from 1 species